rnacentral:rRNA from 1 species
CCGGCGACGGGUGAGUAACGCGUAUGCAACUUGCCUAUCAGGAGGGGAUAACCCGGCGAAAGUCGGACUAAUACCGCAUGAAGCAGGGGCCCCGCAUGGGGAUAUUUGCUAAAGAUUCAUCGCUGAUAGAUAGGCAUGCGUUCCAUUAGGCAGUUGGCGGGGUAACGGCCCACCAAACCGACGAUGGAUAGGGGUUCUGAGAGGAAGGCCCCCCACAUUGGUACUGAGACACGGACCAA